rnacentral:lncRNA from 1 species
GCUGAAGAUACAUGGAGGCAGAGGUGAUGGUGGAUGACGUGGGGCUCGGAGGAUGGAGCAAGCACGCAUACCGCAGCACUGGGCGUCAAGCUCUGGAUCAAGGCCAUGGCAGACGCAGGACAAGACCAGAAGAACCUACUUCAGAAUACCUUUUGCAUAACCCCAUAAAAAUCUGCAAAGUCACAUGGCCAGAGCAUGUGAAGAAGAAGAGAUCUUGACCUGAAAUGACUGCAGAACCAAACUUUCUCGUCUCCAAGGAACCAAGGGCGCGAAAGGUCACUGGAACUUAAAGGUGGACUCUUAUCAGAAGCUCUUAUCAGAGGGGUCUGUCCUUCAGGAAGAUCUGGUGUCCAACAUUCCUUUCCCUCCUUACCAUAAAUGUUUGGAACCUCA